AAACUUAUAAAAGCUGUCGCAAUUCGGCACUCGGGGUCCAUAGUCCUCUAACCCUGCGUGGUGCACGGCUAUGGAACCCAGAAUUCUGGAAUAAAGAAAUCCUCAUGCUAUUGCAUCGAGACCAUUUCUCUCGAGUGAUUUGGGUGUCGCCUUCCGGUGUGUGGGGUGCUGGGGCACCCUUGGUUUUUGGGGUCUUACAUUUCUUGGUGCGUUGGCCGGGAAGUGCGAUUUCCCUUCACACACGAGAACCAACUCGGAGUUGCUUCCUGGCUUAAAGAACCAGUAAAAUUGGCAUGUCGAGUCAUUUCCUUGGUGGGAUGUCACAAAAUCUGGAAGGAUCAUGCCUCUGGAAUCUGUUCCUGGUGUGUACUGUCUGCGUGGAUGUGCCCAAGGUACACACGUGUGCACACACAAAUCUACAGAAUUGGAGUCCUACUGUGAGAGGACCCUCAAGUCCCAGGGAUGGCCACGAAGACACUCUGAGCACAGCCUCUACGGGAGAUCCUGCAGACAGAAUGCCUGGAGUCCCGAGCUCUAGAAGAGCAGGCAUUAGUUUUGUGGGCUAACCCUUCACUUCUGUCUGCUCCUAACACGAGGAGGUCACAGAGACAUCCAGUCUGCGUCUUCCCAGCCUGCUUUGUGGGUUUUUCUGCCUAGUUGUGGCUGAUGGAAUGCAGGGGUAAUCUAUAGUCUCUUAUUAUUAUUUUAUCACCAGAAAAGACUGCCACAUUGGCUCUUAGCAACUGCUUUGUGGCCAAGGACAUUUCUUCCCUUUCUGCAUCUUUAGUCUCAUUUGACGUGCUCUGCUAGGAAGAAAAUGAUUGGCCACACUCUCCACCAUUGCCUGUGCCUUGCCUGGCCCUCUAUGGCUUUCCUGUCCUCAGAAGUUUUUACAACUCAGCCUCGAGUGGCCACUUCCCUGGCCAGUUUACCCUCCAUGCCAGGACCAGCAGCUU